GAUUCUGAGUGAUCUCGAAGUUUCUUGCCCACAAAAGCCGAACGGUGACGCCCCAGACUCGGUUUCUUGGUUCCGUCCCAAAACGCCGAAGAAAGGCACAAUGGCCUAGAAAGGGAAGGUCGGACUUGGAACGGGGUCCGAGGCCUCGAAAGUCAACAUCUAGCUACUGGGUGGUCCGAUUCUGAGUGAUCUCGAAGUUUCUUGCCCACAAAAGCCGAACGGUGACGCCCCAGACUCGGUUUCUUGGUUCCGUCCCAAAACGCCGAAGAAAGGCACAAUGGCCUAGAAAGGGACGGUCGGACUUGGAACGGGGUCCGAGGCCUCGAAAGUCCACAUCUAGCUACUGGGUGGUCCGAUUCUUUGUGAUCUCGAAGUUUCUUGCCCACAAAAGCCGAACGGUGACGCCCCAGACUCGGUUUCUUGGUUCCGUCCCAAAACGCCGAAGAAAGGCACAAUGGCCUAGAAAGGGACGGUCGGACUUGGAACGGGGUUCGAGGCCUCGAAAGUCCACAUCUAGCUACUGGGUGGUCCGAUUCUUUGUGAUCUCGAAGUUUCUUGCCCACAAAAGCCGAACGGUGACGCCCCAGACUCGGUUUCUUGGUUCCGUCCCAAAACGCCGAAGAAAGGCACAAUGGCCUAGAAAGGGACGGUCGGACUUGGAACGGGGUCCGAGGCCUCGAAAGUCCACAUCUAGCUACUGGGUGGUUCGAUUCUGAGUGAUCUCGAAGUUUCUUGCCCACAAAAGCCGAACGGUGACGCCCCAGACUCGGUUUCUUGGUUCCGUCCCAAAACGCCGAAGAAAGGCACAAUGGCCUAGAAGAAAGGACGGUCGUACUUGGAACGGGGUCCGAGGCCUCGAAAGUCCACAUCUAGCGACUGGGUGGUUCGAUUCUGAGUGAUCUCGAAGUUUCUUGCCCACAAAAGCCGAACGGUGACGCCCCAGACUCGGUUUCUUGGUUCCGUCCCAAAACGCCGAAGAAAGGCAAAAUGGCCUAGAAAGGGACGGUCGGACUCGAAACGGGGUCCGAGGCCUCGAAAGUCCACAUCUAGCGACUGGGUGGUCCGAUUCUGAGUGAUCUCGAAGUUUCUUGCCCACAAAAGCAGAACGGUGACGCCCUAGACUCGGUUUCUUGGUUCCGUCCCAAAACGCCAAAGAAAGGCACAAUGACCAAGAAAGGGAUGGUCGGACUUGGAACGGGGUCUGAGGCCUCGAAAGUCCACAUCUAGCUACUGGGUGGUCCGAUUCUUUGUGAUCUCGAAGUUUCUUGCCCACAAAAGCCGAACGGUGACGCCCCAGACUCGGUUUCUUGGUUCCGUCCCAAACAGCCGAAGAAAGGCACAAUGGCCUAGAAAGGGACAGUCGGACUCGAAACGGGGUCCGAGGCCUCGAAAGACCACAUCUAGCUACUGGGUGGUCCGAUUUUGAGUGAUCUCGAAGUUGCUUGCCCACAAAAGCCGAACGGUGACGCCCCAGACUCGGUUUCUUGGUUUUGUCCCAAAACGCCAAAGAAAGGCACAAUGGCCUAGAAACGGACGGUCGAACUUGGAACGGGGUCUGAGGCCUCGAAAGUCCACAUCUAGCUACUGGGUGGUCCGAUUCUGAGUGACCUCGAAGUUUCUUGCCCACAAAAGCCGAACGGUGACGCCCCAGACUCGGUUUCUUGGUUCCGUCCCAAAACGCCGAAGAAAGGCACAAUGGCCUAGAAAGGGACGGUCGAACUUGGAAUGGGGUCCGAGGCCUCGAAAGUCCACAUCUAGCUACUGGGUGGUCCGAUUCUUUGUGAUCUCGAAGUUUCUUACCCACAAAAGCCUAACGGUGACGCCCCAGACUCGGUUUCUUGGUUCCGUCCCAAAACGCC
rnacentral:lncRNA from 1 species